rnacentral:tRNA from 1 species
GUCCCCAUCGUCUAGAGGCCCAGGACUCCACCCUUCACGGUGGCUACGAGGGUUCGAAUCCCUCUGGGGACG